GGCCGCGGGAAUUCGAUUGGAUCGCCCUUAGAGUUUGAUCAUGGCUCAGAACAAACGCUGGCGGCGUGCCUAACACAUGCAAGUCGUACGAGAAAGUCCGCUUCGGUGGAUGAGUAAAGUGGCGCACGGGUGAGUAACGCGUGGAUAAUCUACCCUUUAGUCUGGAAUAACUUAUCGAAAGGUGAACUAAUACCGGAUAAUAUCCCGAUUUCUUCGGCGAUCGGGAUCAAAGAAGGCCUCUGCUUGCAAGCUUUCACUGAAGGAUGAGUCCGCGUACCAUUAGCUAGUUGGCAGGGUAAUGGCCUACCAAGGUUAUGAUGGUUAGCUGGUCUGAGAGGAUGAUCAGCCACACUGGAACUGAAACACGGUCCAGACUCCUACGGGAGGCAGCAGUGAGGAAUAUUGCGCAAUGGGGGCAACCCUGACGCAGCAACGCCGCGUGAGUGAGGAAGGUUUUCGGAUUGUAAAGCUCUGUCGAGCGGAAAGAAGUGCAUGGUGGUUAAUAUCCAUCAUGCUUGACGGUACCGCUAAAGGAAGCACCGGCUAACUCCGUGCCAGCAGCCGCGGUAAUACGGGGGGUGCAAGCGUUGUUCGGAAUCAUUGGGCGUAAAGCGCGUGUAGGCGGCUGGACAAGUCAGAUGUGAAAGCCCUGGGCUUAACCCAGGAAGUGCAUUUGAAACUGUUCAGCUAGAGUAAGGGAGAGGAAAGUGGAAUUCCUGGUGUAGAGGUGAAAUUCGUAGAUAUCAGGAGGAACACCGGUGGCGAA
rnacentral:rRNA from 1 species